GCAACCCAAGGAGUUUGGUGCUAUUUGUAACGGAUAAAAUUUGUAAGCAGACUGUGACGACUGCUUGUCUCUCUGUGGGUGCCAUUGGUUUCAGGGAAGUCUGUAGCCUCAGGAACUUACCAGGGCAGUCGGGUCACCCCUGUGGUGAGUCCAUGUCUUCGGGGCUGGGCGAUCUAGAAGGAGGACCGCUCUCUUCUGAGUGAGUUGGUUCGGUGUGACGUGACUCACUGUGGUCCCCUGGAAGUUGAUCUCCCAGAGGCAAGCCUGCAAGGUGGGGGCAGUGCUGUCCUUGCUUUCCACAGUCCACUAGCAGAGUCUCCCCUCCAGGGAUGGGGAGGCCACAGCCGGCCCAGCUGGCACCUGUCUCCCUAGCAGAGGGGCUGCCUCGUCCUGCAGCCUCGGACCCCUUCCUUCACUUAGUCCCGCUGCCCUCCUCCCCCUUCCCACAACUGGUGGGGGUGAGUGGGCAGGGGGCAGGCGCAGCCGGCUGAGGAGCCUGAUGAUUUCCUGCCUUCACCACAGCUUCCUGUCGCACGCGGGGUGGUGAGGAGGAGAAGCAGGCGGGGAACAAGAAAGGGGCAGUAAGCUGGGCACGGGAUCGCGCCACUGGUAGCUGGGGCACAGGCCCAACACUGAUCUCAACUCAGUCCAGCAAGAAGCGGGGGUCAUUGAGCCCCAAAGAAGGACACAGCUAACUGCCACUGGAUCCCAGGCUGGGGCCACACUCAGUCCCACACCACUUGCUGCCAUCUGCCUGGAGGGGCUGCGGUGCAGUGGGGCCUGGGCCAGGUGCUCUGCAGAUGGAAGCAGACACUCUGAGCCCCCAUGGGGCUGGGCUCCUGUUGCUGCCCCUUCUUGGUCACGCUCCUGGCUGCCUGUGCUGCGCUGCCGUGAGCUGCCAGCUUCCUAUGACACUGUGUCCACAGAGAGGUUGUACCCAAGCAAUACCUUCAUCAACCCAACUCAAAUAACAGCCCCCCAACAACUGCCACUUCGUAUCCUCCUGUAGCUUCCUUCCCACCCCUGAUGCAGCCAGACCUGAGAUCCCCACAGCCCUUUGGGGUUCCCAUCGGAUUGCCAUUUUGCCAGCAGGAUUCAAAUGAUGCCAACAGUGUGGCGAGCUACGAGAACCAGGAGCCAGCCAGUAAGAAUGAGGACGACGACGAGGAGGACGGAUGGACUACCCCAAUGAGGGCUACACUGUGAGUGGAGAGGUAGAGGGUGGGAGUGGAAGCUGGGUCCCCUUUUCUUACCUCCUCAUUCCUUCCUUCCAGAGAGGUGCUUCCUGGACAGCACCCCCUGCCACCAUUCCCGUCGUCUCCUCUGCUCCUGUGCCCAGCAACCCUGGCCUCCGGGACAGUGCCUUCUCCAGUGAGUCAGGGAUUCUGUCCGCCUCCUUCCGCCAUGUGCUGCUGCUCCUCGCUUCCCUCUCAUUUCUGCGAUGAUCGCUGCCCUUCCAUUUCCUCCUUCAGGAUGCUGGUUCCUGCUCUUCGCUUCUGAUUGCCUGGCUUUUCCUUACACCUUUCCACCUCUUUGUCUUAUCAUUUUUUGUCUAUUGUCUGAAUGUCCUGAU